rnacentral:sRNA from 1 species
UAAAAUGAUAAAAACAGAAAUACAAAUUAUUAAAUUCUUCAAUCGGACAAAAAUCCCCAUAGGACUAAGGAUUAUUUGUGAUGUUAGGCGCACAAGCAUCAGCGGUGGUAGUGAUGGUAGUGAGACGAUUAGUUUCAAACUGGUGGUGGCUGCCAUCCAUGGAAGGAAUGUCCCCAUCCUCUUUAACAUUAAGAUCUUGAAGAACACGAGGAGGUAAAGAAGAAGAAGGCUCACCAUUCUUCUUAAGGUACUCAAUCCUGCUUUUAAGGCUAUCGAGAUAGUCAUCAAUAACAGAACUCAAAUCUUGAAGAUCCUUUUCACCGAGUUGACACACAUCAAUAGUUCCUUCGAUACAACCCCACAUAAUUUGUCGAGCCCUCAAAACUCGAUUUUCAUCACGCAGCUUUUGCAAUUGCGCUUGUGCUUUUUCAAUCCUCUCACGCAAAAAAGCCUCUUGAUCCAUCUUUUUCUUGGUCUAGUCUUUGUUAUGGGUCUUUGUUUUAUUGGCAUGAAGAUUGUUUAUAUAGUAAAGGAAAUGUGCUAUGACCCAUUAGGGUUUUAAUUUCCUUGUUGGACUCAUUUCUUUUAGAUAACAUUGAAUUUCGGAUAGCGUAUCUAUUCCACUCCUACGUGUACGCAUGUGAUUGAGUAUAAAACGAUAACCUUUUGAUUUAAAGAUAAAUUGU